rnacentral:rRNA from 1 species
ACGGCUCAGUAACACGUAGCUAACCUAACCUUAAGUCAAGCAUAAUCUUGGGAAACUAAGACUAAAUCUUGAUAAAAAAUAUUUUCUGGAAUGAGAUAUUUUUGAAACUCGAGCUUAAGGACGGGGCUGCGACUGAUUAGGUUGUUGUUGGUGUAAAGGACUAACAAGCCGAUAAUCAGUAAGGGCUCUUAGCGGAGAAGCCCUGAGAAGGAAUCUGAGACACUAUUCCUAGCCCUACGGGGUGCAGCAGUCGAGGAAAUUUUACAAUGCUCGCAAGAGUGAUAAAAUAAACCAGAGUGUUUCUCCUAGAGAAACUUUUAUUUGCUGUAAAAAGGCAAAUGAAUAAGGACUGGGCAAGACCGGUGCCAGCCGCCGCGGUAAUACCGGCGGUCCAAGUCGCAUCCACAUUUAUUGAGUCUAAAACAUUUGUAGCUUGUUUUAUAAGUCUCUUGUGAAAUCCUAUAUCUCAAGUAUAGGGCGUGCAAGAGAUACUAUAUUACUAGAGACUGGAAGACGCAAAGAGUAUGAUUGAGGUAGCGGUAAAAUGCAUUAAUCUCAAUUAGACUAACAAUGGCGAAGGCACUUUGCGAGUACAGAUCUGACAGUGAGGGAUGAAGGCUAGGGGCGCAAAAGGGAUUAGAUACCCCUGUAGUCCUAGCAGUAAACACUGCUCACUAAACAUUAGUACCUCCUCGAGAGGCAUUAGUGCUGUAGGGAAGCCGAAGAGUGAGCUACUUGGGAAGUAUAGUCGCAAGAUCGAAACUUAAAGGAAUUGGCGGGGGAG